UGGGGAAUAUUGCACAAUGGGCGCAAGCCUGAUGCAGCGACGCCGCGUGGGGGAUGAAGGCCUUCGGGUUGUAAACUCCUUUCGCUAGGGAAGAAGCCACUUGUGGUGACGGUACCUGGAUAAGAAGCACCGGCUAACUACGUGCCAGCAGCCGCGGUAAUACGUAGGGUGCGAGCGUUGCCCGGAAUUACUGGGCGUAAAGAGCUCGUAGGUGGUUUGUCGCGUCGUCUGUGAAAUUCCGGGGCUUAACUUCGGGCGUGCAGGCGAUACGGGCAUAACUAGAGUGCUGUAGGGGAGACUGGAAUUCCUGGUGUAGCGGUGAAAUGCGCAGAUAUCAGGAGGAACACCGAUGGCGAAGGCAGGUCUCUGGGCAGUUACUGACGCUGAGGAGCGAAAGCAUGGGUAGCGAACAGGAUUAGAUACCCUGGUAGUCCAUGCCGUAAACGGUGGGCGCUAGGUGUGGGGGUUUUAUUUACGAUUCCCGUGCCGUAGCUAACGCAUUAAGCGCCCCGCCUGGGGAGUACGGCCGCAAGGCUA
rnacentral:rRNA from 1 species